CAGUGGCUGAGCAUUGCCUCCAAGGGAAGGGAAAUGGCUUCCUUCCGCUGCAUAGGAUCAUCUGAGAGCUGCGGAGCUCAGGUUACUGGAUCACUCCGGAGGCCAGCACCGGAAAGCAGAGCUAGAUCAAUUAAGGCGCCGGUUUGAGCAGUGCAAGCUGGACUCAGAGGACUUGGAGACAGUGAGAAUUUUUUUGUCUGUAAAUCUCUGAAGCUCUUGGGAACUUUUAGACGCCAACAUAUUAUGAGGUGAAAAUCCUGUGGACAUUUGGGCUGCACUGAGAAACGGCUGGCGUGAAAUCAGCAGCCACCUCUGGUUUGAAUUCCUACAGUGAUGAUCUGCUUCAACCAUAGUCCUAAAGCUACACAGUCUUGAAACUAUGUGGCAUAUGGAGCUGCUUCAGACUGUCCACAGCAGCUGAAUAUAAUUUGCCUCAUGCUCUAGCAGAGUGGUAGAGGAUUGAAAGGACAGAGAAGGGUAGAAGAAGAAGAGAAGAAGAAGAAGAAAGAACCCACAAAGUAGCAAGUACCCGCUACAGAAAUGGCUUUUUGUCCUAUUAAUACUGUAGUUAGUCUUUCGUAAAUUACAGCUUGUGGGUCUUUGGCGAUCCACAAGAAAUAGUAAAAGUUAUGUGAAUCUCUCUAUAUCCAAUUGCAUAUUUAUAUGAAGCUAAAUCCUGUUUUACACUUCAACAACAAAAACAUAUAACAACAGAUCCAUGAAAAAGCAGGUUAGAGAAUCCAGCUGCCUUCUAUCAGGUCAGACAUUGAAAGGGAUGUACAAAACUGUAAAACAAUAGCUUUUUGUUUUGGAAAAUGUAGUUAUUUGUCAUAAGAUGUAAUUUAUGUUAAUAGGUAAUCAGAUUCUUUUGUUAUAAAAUAAGUUUCUAAUUCAACAUUUUUUUCAAAUUCUUAGUUUUAGUUUCAAACAGGGAUAAUAUUAGUUCUAAUGCAUAUAAAUAAAAUCUUACUGGGGUCAUCAAUAAUUUUGAAAAUGUAAGGCAAUCCAGAGGAAAAACCCUGAGAAUUGCUGUUCUGCUAUACAUAAUUUUAGUUUUUUGUUAAGAUAUAAUUCACACACUACAAAAUGUGGAUAGAGUAUAAAAUUCAAUAAUUUUGAGUUCAUAAGAUUGUAACAUCAUCACCUGUGUUCAAUUCCAGAAACAUUUUCAUCACCUCAUAAAGAAACCCUAUGCUCGUUAAAAAACAUUCUAUAUACACCUCCUCCAUCUGGCAGACACAAAUUUCCUUCCAAUAAAUAGUUUCAAACAAUAUGUGUGCUUUUUACAUUUAACAGAAUUUUUACAGGUUCAUCCACAUUGUAGCAUUCCUUCUCAUACUGAAUAAUACUCUAUUAUAUUAAUGUACUAUAUUGUCUAAAUCUAGGUAGUUUUGAUUUGCAUUUUCUGCUGACUAAUGAUGUUUAGUGUCUAUUUGAAUAUUUUCUGUGGAAAAUGUUCAGAGUCUUUGCCUAUUUUAUUCUUCAACUUUUUUAAUUUAAGUUUUUGUGUGUGUGUAUUUGGUGUUUUUCAGGCAUCUAUCUGUGGACCAGGUGUGUGCAGUGCCCAGAGGGUGGUGCAUCCUAUGAGAUUGGAGAUGCUGAUGGUCGUAGCAAGUCAUGGAUGUUGGGAAUCAAACCCAAUGUGCUCUUAACCAUGGAGUCAUAGCUCUAGCUCCUUUUUGCCCGUUUAAUCUGGGUUAUAUUUUCAUUAUUGAGUUCAUUGUAUAAGAUUUAGAAAUAUUUUGUGGCAUUCUCUGUUGUUUCUUCAUUUUCUUGAAAGUAUCCUUUCAGAAAGUUCUUAAUUUUGGUGAACUUUCUUUUUUACCUAUGUUAUCUCAUUGUCUGUGCUUUUGUUGUCAUAUAAUAAUAACUGUCCCCUAAUACAAGGUCAUAAAGUUUAUUCAGUCUUCUAAGAGUUUAAUAAUUUUAGCUAUUAGAAUCCUGGUUUUGAUCCAUUUUGAAUUAUUAUUAUGAUUAUUUUUAUAGAACUAGAGAAAGUGGUUCCAGUUUAUUCUUUCACAUGAGAAUACGCAAUGCAAUACUGUUACCGAGAACUGUUCCUCAAUGAAUUGCCAUGGUAGCCUCAUCGCCUUGUCAAAAAUCACUAUCCUUAAAUAUAAGGAUUUAUUUAGAAUUUUAGUUCUGUGCCGUUGAUCAGUCUGUCUGUCUGUCCUACAUCAUUCCAAGUACUAUGGCUAUGAGGUUGAGAUUGUGUUAGUAUAAGUCCUCUGUUUUUUCUUACUUCAAAACUGUUUUGGCUUCUCUGGGUUCUUUAAGGUUCUGUGGGGCUUUAGAGCCUUUUUAUUUUUAUUUUUUUAGUUUUAACCAAGGGGCUAAGUAGGAUUACAGAAAUUGUACUGACUCAGCAGAUCAACUUAGAGAUAUUUUCAUCUUAACACUAUCCAAUCUCCUCCUAUUCAUGAACAAACAGAGCAUUUAAUAAAUUAUUUAUUAAGUUCUUUAUCUGAGCAUUGUUUAAUAGAUUUUGGUGGACAAAUACUGAAUGGCCUCCUUCUUUCUCCCUUAUCUGUCUUCAUUUGUUAUGAUUCUAGGGAUCAAAAACUGUAUUUCAUGCACAAUAAAUAUGGUCCUACCACUGGA